rnacentral:misc_RNA from 1 species
GAUGAAGAACGUAGCGAAAUGCGAUAAGUAGUGUGAAUUGCAGAAUUUAGUGAAUCAUCGAAUCUUUGAACGCACAUUGCGCCCGCUGGUAUUCCGGCGGGCAUGCCUGUUCGAGCGUCAUUUCAACCCUCAAGCCCCCGGGUUUGGUGUUGGGGAUCGGCUCUGCCCUUCUGGGCGGUGCCGCCCCCGAAAUACAUUGGCGGUCUCGCUGCAGCCUCCAUUGCGUAGUAGCUAACACCUCGCAACUGGAACGCGGCGCGGCCAUGCCGUAAAACCCCAACUUCUGAAUGUUGACCUCGGAUCAGGUAGGAAUACCCGCUGAACUUAAGCAUAUCAAUAAGCGGAGGA